UUGUCGUGCGUACUGCGUACCCCCUUUGUUCUUAGUUCUUACCUCCUUGUUCUCCUUGUUAACUUUUGAUAUUAUUUCUCGGAUUUCUCUUGCCUUCCAACAGUAGAAUCUUUUAACAGGAAAAGACUACUUUGAAAAAAGAUCGUGAUUAGCCAUGAAUGAAGCACAAGAUCUGCAUCGCCUCUCUCUUGUUAUGAGCUAUCAAGCUCUUCUUCUCAUGUUCAAUUUUUUUUUCAUGCCAUCCGGUUUCAUAUACUGAUUUUGCUAAAGCAACCAUUUUUAAGCGUUAGAUUCAUCUGGAAUACCAGGAUCUGUAAAGUUAGUUAGCUCAAAUUUCUUCUCUGAUCUGUUCUCUUAUUUUCAUCAUCAUCUGGCUCUGUUUUCCCUUCUCUUCAUCCGCUGCACUACGGUUUCUUUGGAGAAAACUGUUUUGAUCUUCUUAAAAAACGUUGCAACUAAAAAGAGCUUCCACUUUCGCUGGAGUUUCAAAGGAAUGGGCUUAUGCAGCUUCAUUCUACUCGUCAUAAAGGGAAUAUUCUUUCGACUGUGAUUCUAUUGAUUAAGCAAAUUUAUCUGGAUGACUACACAUCCGAGUUCACGGAUGUUGAUGUGUGAUUACCCUGUCCCUCUGGAUCGGUAUGAUGAUAGGAUUUCUGUGCACUGGAAGUUUCUGCCUUUACUUCGUGAUUUUGGCAGUAUCGGACAGUACUGUAAGAGAUCGGCUUGCCUCGCACAUCUGUACAGGGCAUUAUGUAGGGCAUCUCGUUUUGACUGUAAGGAGAUCGAUGGUCCGCUAACACUUCUGCUGGGUUGGGCUUGGAUCCACCUGCCAU